rnacentral:rRNA from 1 species
CAGCAGCCGCGGUAAUACAGAGGGUGCGAGCGUUAAUCGGAUUUACUGGGCGUAAAGCGUGCGUAGGCGGUUUUUUAAGUCGGAUGUGAAAUCCCUGAGCUUAACUUAGGAAUUGCAUUCGAUACUGGGAAGCUAGAGUAUGGGAGAGGAUGGUAGAAUUCCAGGUGUAGCGGUGAAAUGCGUAGAGAUCUGGAGGAAUACCGAUGGCGAAGGCAGCCAUCUGGCCUAAUACUGACGCUGAGGUACGAAAGCAUGGGGAGCAAACAGGAUUAGAUACCCCAGUAGUCCCUGUCUCUUAUAU